UUACUGUUGUAUAGCUAUUGAAUUUAUUGGAUAAAAGUAUACUUUUCUUGCAGCAUGGAGGUUUUCCUCCAGAACAUACAUUACAUUAUCUCACGCGUGCCUCAUAUGGAAGGCUUAGAUGAAAAAUCUGAUUACGAGAUGUGGAGCAGAUCAGGAAACGAUAGUAAGGAGCUAUCUGGGAAUU